rnacentral:tRNA from 1 species
GCCUGGAUGGCUCAGUCAGUUGAGUGUCUGACUUUGGCUCAGGUCACGAUCUCACUGCUUGUGAGUUCGAGCCCCGCGUCGGGCU